rnacentral:misc_RNA from 1 species
GAAAUUGGAUUACCAAAGGUCAUGAUGUUAAUAAUUUGACGUAAUUAGUGUCAUUUUCUGAAGCACUUAUUUAAUUCAGAAUUUAAAUGAAAUUUUAUUGGAGGCAGAUAGUUUGAGACUGAGUGGUGGAUCUUGGCUCUGUAAGGUUACUGGCUAAUUAGGAAAGAGGAAAUGGCAAUUGAAAUGACUUAGCUAACUGUAAUUUUGUUUCUAGGUUGAUUUUGAAUCUUGCGAAUGAAUGGAUGAUGCCAAAACUGAUGGUUUACGCAGAGCUGUAUACUGACUUGCCAGACUUCUCUUUUCUCUAUGCCAUUGAUCAAAUGAUAUCUUCCUAGAUCAUAGCUGACUGUUUCUGUGUGUGUGUG